GGCUUCAUGGUCACAAGAGUAGAGCUUGGGGGCCCUGCUGUUUUCGGAACGCGCACCAGCGGCACGCUCGCGAACACGUGCGCGGAGCCGCCAUUCUGGUUUCAACAAGCCAACGUAAAAGGUUUUCUUUUCGAUACAACGCGAUUCUUUGUUUGUCGUUUCACCAAAUCAGCGCGAGUUUAGGAGUGCACAAGUGACCUGCGACUCUAGCCAGCGCGAAAGAAAUCGAAAUGCGAAAGAAGUGAAGACCGUCGCACCCGAUUCUGCUCAACAGGUUGGCUGAAUAUAGUAUUUACAGCGUCAGAUUCCUCAACGAGCCAGCGCACCGUACCAGAUAACUCUACAUCUAGUAAACAAUAAAUCAUCGACAGUGUUAAGGGUACUAGGCUUGAAAUAAAAACAGUACUGUCAUGUACACAGUCUGUUCCAUUUCCGAUGAGACUGGUCAAAAAUAAAAAAGAAGACGCUUCGAGUCAAUACAGCGUUUAAACCGAUCAUGAAACUUGUCGAAGCAUGUCUGGUACUCGGGAACCGGAAUAUCGUUCAGGAUGUCGGUCGAAACCUUCUGGAUGGUAGAAAUCGUACUGUAAGUGUUCCCCUUCAACGCUAAUUCGAGAUCAGGAAAUAGCCAGAAGUCGCACGGCGCUAGAUCUGGCGAGUACGGUGGGUGUUCGAGCGCUACGAUGCUUUUUUUGGCCAAAAACUCGCGUACAAUUAGGGCUUUGUGUGACGGCGCAUUAUCAUGCAACAAAAACCAACUGCGAACUUCCUUGUACUCCGGUCGAACACAUUGAAUUCUGUUCCACAAUCUCUGCAGGACACCGAAAUAAUAUUGAGCAUUCACAGUCUGACCUUGUGGAACGAAUUCCUUAUGGAUAAUGCCCUUGGAAUCGAAGAAAAUAGUAAGCAUCGCUUUGAUUGGACUCUUCUGCAUCCGCACUUUUUUCUCUUUCUGCUCAUAUGGUGACUUCCAUGUCGCGCUCUGCCUUUUGGUGAGUGGUUCGUAUUGAAAGCACCACGUUUCAUCGCCAGUUACGAUAGAUGACAUGAAUACAAGGUCCUUUUUUUUUUGGCAGAUUUCAUGUCUUUGUCAUGACUCACUCUUGUGUCUUUUUGCUCCUCCGUGAGAGAAUGUGGAACAAAUCGCGCGCAGAACUUUCUCUUAAAGUUUUUAAAAACUGAUUAAUGCAAAUUCUCGCUCUCUCCUUUUCUGCAUUCUUACCGUCGUUCUUGAUAUUUCUCCACGACUUUCUUUUUAUUUUAUUCUGAAUUUCACUAUCUAUAUUUUCACUUUUAUGCUUUCCUAUGACUCUUCUUUCGCUUUCAAUGGCUUUUUCUGAACUGGCGUGCUGCGCAAUGCCUCCCCUUCUUCCACUUUCGAAUCCUUUGUUCACUCUCCUACUUGGAGGGUUCCUUUCCGCUUCAGCCGGAGGGAUGUUAUUUCUGUUUCCGUAUUCUGUUUCCUGGGAUAUCAUUAGCUUCCUCUGCUUCCUUUCUAAAUUCCCUGGAAUUUACUAGGUUGGGGGUUUUUCCCCCCUAUGAACCCCUUCUCAGUUUCUUUUCCCGUGACCAUCAUUUU